rnacentral:lncRNA from 1 species
UUCUCAGAAGAAUCUUAAUCGAUAUAACUUUCAAAGUUCUUAAGAUCGGAUUCGGUAGUUUAUCGGGUACGUGCAAAGCACCACAAUAAAAAAAUAAAUAAAUACCAAAUAAAUAAUAAUAAUAAUAAUAAUUCUCUUAUAAAAAGCUAAGUACAGCUCUGAUUUUAACUUGUAAUAUUCCUGUCAAGUCUGGUAUUGAAAUAAUACAAGUGGAAGAUAAAACUUGAAAGAUAAGAAAAGACAAUUAAUAGAUAAUU